rnacentral:rRNA from 1 species
GACGUAGGGGGCAAGCGUUGUCCGGAAUCAUUGGGCGUAAAGCGCGCGCAGGCGGUCGCGUAAGUCUGCUGUGAAAUCUCCCUGGCUCAACCGGGAGGGGGCGGCGGAGACUGCGGGACUGGAGGGACCUAGAGGCCGGUGGAAUUCCCGGUGUAGUGGUGAAAUGCGUAGAGAUCGGGAGGAACACCUGUGGCGAAGGCGGCCGGCUGGGGGUGCCCUGACGCUGAGGCGCGAAAGCGUGGGGAGCGAACCGG